rnacentral:rRNA from 1 species
CCUACGGGAGGCAGCAGCGAGGAAUCUUGGGCAAUGGGCGAAAGCCUGACGCAGCAACGCCGCGUGCGGGAUGAAGGCCCUCGGGUUGUAAAGCUCUUUUGUCCGGAACGAAACGGUGGACGUGAAUAUCGUCCACUACUGACGGUACCGGAAGAAUAAGCACCGGCUAACUACGUGCCAGCAGCCGCGGUAAU